rnacentral:lncRNA from 1 species
GCUAGUUCAUCAUAAUAGUCGUCAUUAGAAAGGACACCAUUACUAUUAGCCAUAACUCUAUGGUUGAUCAAAAUGAUCAUCACACCCAGCAAAAAUUAGAAAAUGGUUAACACACCCAUGGUAUAACAGCUACUAUGCUCCAACGGUCACAAAGGCAUAUUCAGCACAAGGACAAGCAUAUUCCUUGUUCUUAUCUGCUGAGUCAUCCUCAGGGGUCCUUGCCCUAGGGUUUUCUGUAUAGUCUCUUGUAUAUAUAUACACAACUUUUACCUCAAUUGUAAAAGGUCAAGAGCCGCAGUCUUUCAUUGUCUGCUACAUUGAUUGUAACCCAUUAUCAAUAUUAAUAUAAUUAUAGACAUUGCUUUUCUCAACACCUACAGACCUUUUUCCUUCUCAGUUUGAAUUCUAUCAUGGUAUCAUGAGCCAUUAACACCACACGGUAACUUUUCUCUGCUGCCCUUUCUGUUCUACUGCCAUGGCAACCCCACCCUUCACUAACCCUUUUUCUGAUUCUCAACCUCCCACUUUUGACCCUGCCCUCCACACCUACACUCCUCCUCUAACCACCAUGUUUCUAGCCUUCUUCCUAUUAAACUAAGCCGUGACAACUAUCUUUUGUGGAAAGAACUCUUCCUCCCUAUUCUUCAGACCUCUAAUUUGCUUGGCCUCAUCAAUGGUACUGACUCAUGCCCAACCCAAUACAUUCCCAAUCUCGAAAACCCUCUUCGCACCAUUGUUAAUCCUGAAUUUCUUCACUGGUUUAAAAAGGAUCAGACUUGUAAGAUCUGGAUCCACUCUUCCCUCUCUGAAAGCAUACUUCCCUAUAUAGUCGGCUCCUCUACCUCUCAAGACCUCUGGCUCACUCUUGAAAAGAGGUUUGCUGCCAUCACAAGAUCCCACCUUUUGCAGCUCAAAGCUCGUAUUCAGAAUCCCAAAAAGGGGUCUCUACCCAUGCUGGACUAUCUUCAACUUAUCAAACACACUGCUGAUUCUCUUGCUGCAGCUGGUGCUCCUCUUGACCCUACAUAUUUCAUUGCUCAUGUUCUCAAUGGUCUUCUUGCCGAAUAUGAUGCUUUCGCUACCUCCAUAAGGGUCCGUUCUGACCCUGUAGAACCAGAAGAACUCCAUGGCCUCCUCCUUAGUGAGGAAAUGGCUCUUGCCAGCGUGCCUCUCUCAACAACGAGUCCUCCUCUCAUGCAUUUCACAACUCCUCCCAAACCAACAACAAAGCUUUCUCCUUUACCACAAACUCUCGCCCAUCUUCCUCCACCAACAGAAACUCCAACAAACCUUUCCAAUCCUCCAACAACUCCUCAUCCUCGUCUUCUUUUCGCCCUCAAAAUCGCCCCUCAAAUUAUGUCAACUCUCGUAUCAAUUGCCAAAUUUGUAACAAACCCGGUCAUACCGCUAUUACUUGCCGCAACCGUCACAACCACUCAUAUCAAGGUC